GCAAUCUGCCCUUCACUCUGGGACAAGCCCUGGAAACGGGGUCUAAUACCGGAUACCACUCCUGCCUGCAUGGGCGGGGGUUGAAAGCUCCGGCGGUGAAGGAUGAGCCCGCGGCCUAUCAGCUUGUUGGUGGGGUAAUGGCCCACCAAGGCGACGACGGGUAGCCGGCCUGAGAGGGCGACCGGCCACACUGGGACUGAGACACGGCCCAGACUCCUACGGGAGGCAGCAGUGGGGAAUAUUGCACAAUGGGCGAAAGCCUGAUGCAGCGACGCCGCGUGAGGGAUGACGGCCUUCGGGUUGUAAACCUCUUUCAGCAGGGAAGAAGCGAAAGUGACGGUACCUGCAGAAGAAGCGCCGGCUAACUACGUGCCAGCAGCCGCGGUAAUACGUAGGGCGCAAGCGUUGUCCGGAAUUAUUGGGCGUAAAGAGCUCGUAGGCGGCUUGUCACGUCGGAUGUGAAAGCCCGAGGCUUAACCUCGGGUCUGCAUUCGAUACGGGCUAGCUAGAGUGUGGUAGGGGAGAUCGGAAUUCCUGGUGUAGCGGUGAAAUGCGCAGAUAUCAGGAGGAACACCGGUGGCGAAGGCGGAUCUCUGGGCCAUUACUGACGCUGAGGAGCGAAAGCGUGGGGAGCGAACAGGAUUAGAUACCCUGGUAGUCCACGCCGUAAACGUUG
rnacentral:rRNA from 1 species